AUGGCUGUCGUCAGCUCGUGUCGUGAGAUGUUGGGUUAAGUCCCGCAACGAGCGCAACCCUCGUUCUAUGUUGCCAGCGGGUUAUGCCGGGGACUCAUAGGAGACUGCCGGGGUCAACUCGGAGGAAGGUGGGGAUGACGUCAAAUCAUCAUGCCCCUUAUGUCUUGGGCUUCACGCAUGCUACAAUGGCCAGUACAAAGGGCUGCGAUACCGCAAGGUGGAGCGAAUCCCAAAAAACUGGUCUCAGUUCGGAUUGGGGUCUGCAACUCGACCCCAUGAAGUCGGAGUCGCUAGUAAUCGCAGAUCAGCAACGCUGCGGUGAAUACGUUCCCGGGCCUUGUACACACCGCCCGUCAAGUCACGAAAGUCGGUAACACCCGAAGCCGGUGGCCCAACUCGCAAGAGGGGGAGCCGUCGAAGGUGGGACUGGCGAUUGGGACUAAGUCGUAACAAGGUAGCCGUACCGGAAGGUGCGGCUGGAUCACCUCCUUUCUAAGGAGCACUGGCACCUCGAGCUUGCCGGCCGUUCGUGGUUGGUGUGCUCGGUUCGGGUGUCCAGGUAGCCCUUUCGCGGCCGAUCGUGUCGUGGGGGUUGCUCACGGGUGGAUCAUCGAUUAGUUGGCACCGCGCGUCUUGUGUCACCGGCUAGUACUGGGUGCUCUCCUUCGGGGGGGUGGCCUAAGGAACGUGGUGGUGUGGGGUGGGUGGUGUCUGGCACGUUGUUGGGUCCUGAGGGCUCGGACGCAAGUUCGAUGGCUUUCAGUUCGGGCCUCACCUGUUGCCUGUACCGUGUGUCCCCUGGUUUGUGGGGGGUGGCGGCGGGUGCGUGUGGUGGGGUUCCGCCCGUAUGUUGAGAACUACACAGUGGACGCGAGCAUCUUUGUGAGUCAAGUUUUUAAGGGCGCACGGUGGAUGCCUUGGUACCAGGAACCGAAGAAGGACGUAGGAAUCUGCGAUAAGCCACGGGGAGUCGAUAACCAGACUGUGAUCCGUGGAUUUCCGAAUGGGGAAACCCGG
rnacentral:sRNA from 1 species